UUUGCUGUCUUCCUUGUGCUCAUUGGACUCCAAUUUAACAGAAGAAAAGAAUAGUGGAUCACAUCAGUGAGCUUUCAACCAUAGAAGAACACACGAUGAUCAAUUAAAGCAGCUGCCUGAUGAAUUUCUUCGCAAGCUCACUGGUGUGGCAGAAGAACUCUUCAUCAAACUCAUAAUUUAUGGCCGAAAUGUUUCCAAGUGUGUCCUGUUUGGUUUCUCCCAGGAAGGGUGAAGCACCACUCAGUCUAAAAUAAAACCAAUCCAAACAGC